rnacentral:rRNA from 1 species
UACGGAGGGUGCAAGCAUUAAUCGGAUUUAUUGGGCGUAAAGGGCGCGUAGGCGGAAAUGCAAGUCAGAUGUGAAAUCCCGGGGCUCACCCCCCGGAACAGCAUUUGAAACUGCAUUCCUUGAGGGUAGGCGGAGAAAAUGGAAUUCCACAAGUAGCGGUGAAAUGCGUAGAUAUGUGGAAGAACACCAGUGGCGAAGGCGGUUUUCUAGCUUAUUCCUGACGCUGAGGCGCGAAAGCAAGGGGAUCAAACAGG